rnacentral:tRNA from 2 species
GGCGGGAUAGCUCAGUUGGUCAGAGCGCACGGCUCAUAAUCGUGAGGUCCCGGGUUCGAACCCCGGUCCCGCUACUA